rnacentral:misc_RNA from 1 species
UUUCCGUAGGUGAACCUGCGGAAGGAUCAUUAUUGUAUAACCAAGGUGCAAGGGCUUUCGCUGACCCGAAAAGUCUUGCACGCCCGAGUACCCUCCCACACAUCCAUCUCACCCCUCUGUGCACCACCGCGUGGGUCCCCCUUUGGCUUGUUCGGUUGGGGGCUUACGUUUUCACACAAACUAUAUAUGCAGUGUAGGAUGUAUUUUUUGUUUUUGCGAUCACGCACGCAAUACAACUUUCAACAACGGAUCUCUUGGCCCUCGCAUCUAUGAAAAACC